ACACUAGUGUUUUUUUUGCAGGUUAUUAUAGUUUGUGGCGUGAGGGUAUCUUUAAGCAGCAUUUACUACAAAUUACAAUGGAGCGCAAGAUUAUUGAUUUGGACCAAGGUUGGGCGUACAUGCUGAAGGGGAUCACAAAACUGAAGAGGAUUCUUGAAGGGUUGCCGGAGGAUCCAUUCAGCUCCGAGGACUACAUAGUCCUCUACACAACUAUCUACAACAUGUGUACCCAGAAGCCCCCGCACGAUUACUCUCAACAGCUUUAUGACAUGUACCGUGAGGUGUUUGAUGAAUAUAUUGCUUCCAUGGUCUUGCCCUCUCUAAAGGAAAAGCAUGAUGAAUUUAUGCUGAGUGAGCUUGUGCAAAGAUGGUUAAACCACAAGGUUAUGGUGAGGUGGCAGUCACGCUUCUUCCAUUAUCUUGAUCGAUAUUUCGUUGCAAGGAGGUCACUUCCCGCUCUUUAUGAAGUUGGACUAGCCUGCUUCCGUGACCUGGUUUACCAAGAGGUAAAGGCUAAUGCCAGAGAUGCUGUAAUUUCUCUUAUUGAUAAAGAACGUGAAGGAGAGCAGAUUGACAGAGCAUUGCUGAAGAAUGUUAUAGAUAUAUUUGUCGCAAUAGGAAUGGGACAAAUGGAGCUUUAUGAACAAGAUUUUGAAGUGCAUAUGCUUCAAGACUCUGGUGCUUACUAUUCUCGUAAAGCAUCAAGUUGGAUAUCCGAUGAUUCUUGUCCGGAUUAUAUGUUGAAGGCUGAGGAGUGCUUGAAAAGGGAGAGAGACAGAGUUUCUCAUUAUUUGCAUAUAAGCAGUGAGCAGAAGUUGGUGGAGAAAGUGCAACAUGAGCUGUUGGUGGUGUAUGAAACGCAACUGCUUGAAAAGGAGUAUUCUGGAUGUCGUGCUUUGCUGAGAGAUGAUAAGGUGGAGGAUCUUUCUAGAAUGUAUAGACUUUACCAUAAAAUACCUAAGGGCUUGGAUCCUGUUUCUACUAUUUUCAAGCAGCAUGUUACUGCUGAAGGUAUGGCCCUGGUCCAACAGGCUGAGGAUCUUGCGAGUAGUCAGACUGCAAAUGGGGGGGUUGGUGUGCAGGAACUGGUUCUUGUCAGGAAAAUAAUUGAGCUGCAUGACAAGUAUAUGGCAUAUGUGAACGAUUGCUUUCUUAAUCACAGUCUGUUUCACAAGGCUCUAAAAGAGGCUUUUGAGGUAUUUUGCAACAAAGCUGUUUUGGGCAGUUCAAGUGCAGAACUGCUGGCUACAUUCUGUGAUAAUAUCCUCAAGAAGGGAGGGAGUGAGAAGUUGAGUGAUGAAGCCAUAGAAGAAACACUCGAGAAGGUAGUUAAGUUGCUCGCAUAUAUUAGCGACAAAGACCUCUUUGCGGAAUUUUACCGGAAAAAGCUUGCUCGUCGGCUCCUUUUUGAUCGGAGUGCUAAUGAAGACCAUGAAAAGAGUAUUCUAACUAAGCUGAAGCAGCAGUGUGGCGCGCAAUUCACAUCAAAGAUGGAAGGCAUGGUCACAGAUUUGACACUGGCACGGGAAAAUCAGAAUAGCUUUGAGGAAUAUCUUCAUAAUAACGCAAAUGUAAAUCCUGGGCUUGAUUUGACAGUUACUGUUCUAACUACUGGGUUUUGGCCAAGUUAUAAAUCUUGUGAUCUUAGCCUCCCACAGGAAAUGGUAAGGUGUGUGGAAGUCUUCAAGGAAUUUUAUGAAACAAAAACAAAACACAGAAAACUUACAUGGAUUUACUCAUUGGGAAGUUGCAACGUCAUUGGAAAGUUUGAUUCAAAAACCAUUGAACUGAUUGUGUCAACCUAUCAGGCUGCUGCCCUCUUGCUUUUUAAUAAUGCUGAUAGAUUGAGCUAUUCAGAAAUUAUGACCCAGUUGAACUUGACCCAUGACGACUUAAUUAGAUUGCUCCAUUCUCUAUCAUGUGCAAAGUAUAAAAUCCUGAAUAAGGAACCCAACACAAAGACUAUCUUGCCAACGGACAACUUUGAAUUUAACUCCAAGUUCACGGACAGAAUGAGGAGGAUUAAGGUACCUCUACCACCAGUGGAUGAAAGGAAGAGGGUAAUUGAAGAUGUUGACAAGGACAGGCGAUAUGCUAUUGAUGCUGCACUUGUCCGCAUUAUGAAAAGUCGGAAAGUUUUGGGUCACCAACAGUUGGUUAUGGAGUGUGUUGAGCAGUUGGGCCGAAUGUUUAAGCCCGAUAUCAAAGCAAUAAAGAAGAGAAUGGAAGAUUUAAUCACCCGCGACUAUCUUGAGAGAGACAAGGACAAUCAAAACAUCUUUAAGUACUUGGCAUGACUGCUACUACCGUCUGUUGGACAUUGCAAACUGGAGCUGCUGAUGUUUAAAGCACAGUGGUAGUCUUGGGGCUUAGACAUGAACUUGUAAUGUUCUGGAAAGGAGUAGGGUCAGCAAUAUAUACACUCAUCGCAAUUUCUACCAAAUUUGAGGUGAUGGGACAUUCAAAUGAAAGCUGUGGAGAUUUCAUGUUCUUGACGCUGUGGCAAGUCACGCAUCAUGUUGGAUUUAAGCGAGAUCUAGAGAGAUUGGAGUCUGAGACACCCUGACGGGAAUUUUGUGGCCCUGAGCAUGUUGAACUUUGAUAUGUAACAAAAAUCAAAAUACCGGCAUUGUUAUUCCUCCACAUGCAAAACCCAUCACUCUUUUCCUAAACAAAACCCUACUUCCAUGGU